rnacentral:rRNA from 1 species
AGUGAACGCUGGCGGUAGGCCUAACACAUGCAAGUCGAACGGCAGCACAGUAAGAGCUUGCUCUUACGGGUGGCGAGUGGCGGACGGGUGAUGAAUACAUCUGAAUCUACUUUUUCGUGGGGGAUAACGUAGGGAAACUUACGCUAAUACCGCAUACGACCUACGGGUGAAAGCAUGGGAUCUUCGGACCUUGCGCGAUUGAAUGACCCGAUGUCGGAUUAGCUAGUUGGCGGGGUAAAGGCCCACCAAGGCGACGAUCCGUAGCUGGUCUGAGAGGAUGAUCAGCCACACUGGAACUGAGACACGGUCCAGACUCCUACGGGAGGCAGCAGUGGGGAAUAUUGGACAAUGGGCGCAAGCCUGAUCCAGCCAUACCGCGUGGGUGAAGAAGGCCUUCGGGUUGUAAAGCCCUUUUGUUGGGAAGGAAAAGCAGCAGGUUAAUACCCCGCUGUUCUGACGGUACCAAAAGAAUAAGCACCGGCUAACUUCGUG